UACGUAGGGGGCAAGCGUUGUCCGGAUUUAUUGGGCGUAAAGAGCGUGUAGGCGGCCAGGUAGGUCUGCUGUGAAAACUCGAGGCUUAACCUCGAGCUGUCGGCGGAAACCCAUCUGGCUAGAGUCCGGAAGAGGAGAAUGGAAUUCCCGGUGUAGCGGUGAAAAUGCGCAGAUAUCGGGAAAGAACACCCGUGGCGAAGGCGGUUCUCUGGGCAUGUCCUGACGCUGGAGGAGCGAAAGUGUGGGGAGCGAACAGG
rnacentral:rRNA from 1 species